rnacentral:rRNA from 1 species
GAGUAAUUUAAUUUUGGUUAUAGAAGGAUUGUACGGAGGAUGCCACAUAGUGUUUUUAUUUAGUUCUUUGCCAGGUUAUUGAUCCCUGUAGUUAGACUAGUGGUUAGAUUUCGCUUAUUGGGCGAUAGCCUGAGUGAGUUCUUGUACAAUGGGGGGUGGUUAAUUCACAGUGCCAGCAACCGCGGUUAUUCUGUUAGCCUCUACCUUCUUGUCGGUUGAAAUGAUUUGUGAGUAAUUUUGAAUUCGUGAGUAGAAUCAGUGUUUUUCUGGCUAUAUCCUCACAGGUUCUUUUGAGGGCUGUAGGGAGAAUAGGAUUAGAGACCCUAGUAUCGAGUCAUGGCUAUUUUGUGGCUUCUUAGUUUAAACUAAAAAAAUUUGGCAGCCGAUGAUACUCUUCCGGGGGAGCGUGUGACGUAAGAGAUGAUCCGCUUAAGUCUUUACCACUUCUAUUUUAGGUUAGUGUACGUCCGGUUUUAUACCUUUGAUUAAUAUCUUUAGGUGAAUUUCGGUUGAUUAAGGCCAGGUCAAUGUGCUGCUAAUGGGGUGGUGUUCGUUCGCUACUUUAAUAAAAUACAGUGCGAUGAAGAUUGCAUGUGAAUUGAGGACUCGGAAGUAGGUGUAAUUGGUGGUAGAUGCAUCGAAGGUUUGAUUUAGUCGGGGUACACACCGCCCGUCAACCGGAACGAUUAGUUCUGGUAAGUCGUAACAUGGUAACGCUGGGGGAACCGAGCGUUAGUUGACUAGGGGUUUAUUUUCCUUGUUAGAAAGUUGAG